CCUACGGGUGGCAGCAGUGGGGAAUAUUGCACAAUGGGGGAAAGCCUGAUGCAGCGACGCCGCGUGAAGGAAGAAGUACCUCGGUAUGUAAACUUCUAUCAGCAGGGAAGAAAAUGACGGUACCUGACUAAGAAGCCCCGGCCAAAUACGUGCCAGCAGCCGCGGUAAUACGUCGGGCGCAAGCGGUAACCGGAUUUACUGGGGGUAAAGGGAGCGGAGACGGGAGGGCAAGGCUGAUGGGAAGGGCUGGGGGGUAACCCCAGGACCGCAUUGGAAACUGGCGUUCUAGAGUGCCGGAGAGGUAAGCGGAAUUCCUAGUGUAGCGGUGAAAUGCGUAGAUAUUAGGAGGAACACCAGUGGCGAAGGCAGCUUACUGG
rnacentral:rRNA from 1 species